rnacentral:rRNA from 1 species
UCGGGGUGAGCGGCAGACGGGUGAGUAACGCGUGGGAACGUGCCCUUUGGUUCGGAAUAGCCCUUGGAAACGAGGAGUAAUGCCGAAUGUGCCCUUCGGGGGAAAGAUUUAUCGCCAAAGGAUCGGCCCGCGUUAGAUUAGCUAGUUGGUGAGGUAAUGGCUCACCAAGGCGACGAUCUAUAGCUGGUCUGAGAGGAUGAUCAGCCACACUGGGACUGAGACACGGCCCAGACUCCUACGGGAGGCAGCAGUGGGGAAUCUUGGACAAUGGGCGCAAGCCUGAUCCAGCCAUUCCGCGUGGAUGAUGAAGGCCCUAGGGUUGUAAAAUCCUUUCGGCAGGGAAGAUAAUGACGGUACCUGCUAAAGAAGCCCCGGCUAACUCCGUGCCAGCAGCCGCGGUAAUACGGAGGGGGCUAGCGUUGUUCGGAAUUACUGGGCGUAAAGCGCGCGUAGGCGGAUCGAUCAGUCAGAGGUGAAAUCCCGGAGCUCAACUUCGGAACUGCCUUUGAUACUGUCGAUCUGGAGUCCG